GGACUUGUUUAUCAUUGGUUCAAGCCAUGGGAGAUCAUGAGGAUAUUUCUAACCAUGAACACAACCUGACGCUCUCAGAAAGGGUAAUGGAAUGUAAAUGUAAAUAUUAUGACCAUGGAGGAGGAGAGGACUAGCACAGGAUGGAGCAUUCAAAGACAACCCUUCAUUAAAUUUACAGAUUUACACGCUACCAGGAAAGGCCUCAUUAGCCAACAGCCACAGUUUUAGUCUGUGUCUACUUCUAGGUAUCUUUUAAAUUAAUGUGAGCUGAGAUGUGAAUACAUGCCUCUGAAGCGAGUGAGACUCGAACCCAGUCUUUCUGGUUCAGAGUGCGUGGGAGAGAACACUCAACAGAGAAAGGAGACAUAAAGAUGUCAUUGCAGUCAGUUCCUGGUGGUUUUUGUUUGCAUUUCACUAACAGGGUCUGUGUUAAGCUGCAAACAGACCAAUCAGAAGACUGUUACCAUGCUGAACUCCUAUGAACACAGUAACAGAUGGUGCCAUCUGGAUUUGCUGUCCUAAAAAUGUAAAACUGUCUCAUAUGUAUCAUUCUGAGCUUAUUUUUUUCUAAGUUGCAGUUUCCUAUUUUUAUACCUAUUUUUUAAAGCAGUGUCUGUUUUUCUUAUUUUCAGUCCGCAGUCCAAAAUAAAAGACGUAGUCUUUACAAUUUAUCAUGA